rnacentral:lncRNA from 1 species
UGAAAUCUAUGAUCUUAGGGAGUGUAUGGAUAAAAUUUUAGCAUCUUCAAACAAUACUUGAGGACUUGGAAGUACAUUUCUAAAAUAUAUGGAUGGAUGAAAAAGCAUCACGGUGAGUUUCCAGCUUGAUUUUUUUGCUUGCUUUACUUAUUCAUAAAUUUCUCAUCAUCUUUCCUCGGUUGUAGGUCUUUGGCUCAAAGAACAGUUGCCUGAGCUUAAUUGAGAUACCGAAGAAUGAUGAUGGAGCUCAAGAACAAAUCUAGAGGCUUGCUGCUCCAAUGAGUCAAAUGGUAUUUGUAGGAGGUAAUGUUAGUAGUCCUCUAAGGAAGAGAAUGACCGGAUCGAAACAUUUCCUGAGUUGAUUCCCAGGCUAUUCAGUUUCCUUAGGGACGUGUCAAAGGACAAUCCCAUUAUUGUUGAUGAGAGUGAUAAGAGAGAGUCUCCGGCUGGGGUACAUGUAGAUAAAAUAGUUUCGGGGACUGGAACGGAAUUUCUUGUACAAGUCGAUUUUGAUGAUUGGCUCGGUCAAGGCCUUUUUACUAAAAUAGAUGGAGAUAUCAUUCCUGAGCCCUUGUCCUUUCCGGAGCUUCCAGUUUUACAAGGUGCAGAGGCUAGACCAUC